rnacentral:rRNA from 1 species
GUGGGGUAGUGGCCUACCAAGGCGACGACGGGUAGCCGGCCUGAGAGGGUGACCGGCCACACUGGGACUGAGACACGGCCCAGACUCCUACGGGAGGCAGCAGUGGGGAAUAUUGCGCAAUGGGCGAAAGCCUGACGCAGCGACGCCGCGUGGGGGAUGACGGCCUUCGGGUUGUAAACCUCUUUCAGCAGGGACGAAGCGAAAGUGACGGUACCUGCAGAAGAAGCACCGGCCAACUACGUGCCAGCAGCCGCGGUAAUACGUAGGGUGCAAGCGUUGUCCGGAAUUAUUGGGCGUAAAGAGCUCGUAGGCGGUUUGUUGCGUCGGCUGUGAAAACCUGAGGCUCAACCUCAGGCCUGCAGUCGAUACGAGCAGACUAGAGUGUUGCAGGGGAGACUGGAAUUCCUGGUGUAGCGGUGAAAUGCGCAGAUACCAGGAGGAACACCGAUGGCGAAGGCAGGUCUCUGGGCAUUAACUGACGCUGAGGAGCGAAAGCAUGGGGAGCGAACAGGAUUAGAUACCCUGGUAGUCCAUGCCGUAAACGUUGGGCACUAGGUGUGGGGGACAUUCCACGUUUUCCGCGCCGUAGCUAACGCAUUAAGUG